rnacentral:misc_RNA from 1 species
GAUGAAGAACGUAGCGAAAUGCGAUAAGUAAUGUGAAUUGCAGAAUUCAGUGAAUCAUCGAAUCUUUGAACGCACAUUGCGCCCCUUGGUAUUCCGAGGGGCAUGCCUGUUCGAGCAUCAUUAUAACCCCUCAAGCUCAGCUUGGUGUUGGGGCCUGCUGCACUGGCAGCCCUUAAAAUCAGUGGCGGCGCCAUCUGGCUCUAAGCGUAGUAAUUCUUCUCGCUAUGGAGUCCUGGUGGAUGCUUGCCAUCAACCCCCAAUUUUUCUAUGGUUGACCUCGGAUCAGGUAGGGAUACCCGCUGAACUUAAGCAUAUCAAUAAGCGGAGGA